GUGGUGCAUGGUUGUCGUCAGCUCGUGUCGUGAGAUGUUGGGUUAAGUCCCGCAACGAGCGCAACCCUUGAUUUUAGUUGCCAGCAUUUAGUUGGGCACUCUAAAGUGACUGCCGGUGCAAGCCGGAGGAAGGUGGGGAUGACGUCAAAUCAUCAUGCCCCUUAUGACCUGGGCUACACACGUGCUACAAUGGAUAGUACAAAGGGUCGCGAAGCCGCGAGGUGGAGCUAAUCCCAUAAAACUAUUCUCAGUUCGGAUUGUAGGCUGCAACUCGCCUACAUGAAGCCGGAAUCGCUAGUAAUCGUGGAUCAGCAUGCCACGGUGAAUACGUUCCCGGGCCUUGUACACACCGCCCGUCACACCACGAGAGUUUGUAACACCCGAAGUCGGUAGGGUAACCUUUAUGGAGCCAGCCGCCGAAGGUGGGACAGAUAAUUGGGGUGAAGUCGUAACAAGGUAGCCGUAUCGGAAGGUGCGGCUGGAUCACCUCCUUUCUAAGGAA
rnacentral:rRNA from 1 species